GAUGAACGCUGGCGGCGUGCCUAAUACAUGCAAGUCGAGCGAACGGACGAGAAGCUUGCUUUUCUGAUGUUAGCGGCGGACGGGUGAGUAACACGUGGAUAACCUACCUAUAAGACUGGGAUAACUUCGGGAAACCGGAGCUAAUACCGGAUAAUAUUUUGAACCGCAUGGUUCAUAAGUGAAAGACGGUCUUGCUGUCACUUAUAGAUGGAUCCGCGCUGCAUUAGCUAGUUGGUAAGGUAACGGCUUACCAAGGCAACGAUGCAUAGCCGACCUGAGAGGGUGAUCGGCCACACUGGAACUGAGACACGGUCCAGACUCCUACGGGAGGCAGCAGUAGGGAAUCUUCCGCAAUGGGCGGAAGCCUGACGGAGCAACGCCGCGUGAGUGAUGAAGGUCUUCGGAUCGUAAAACUCUGUUAUUAGGGAAGAACAUAUGUGUAAGUAACUGUGCACAUCUUGACGGUACCUAAUCAGAAAGCCACGGCUAACUACGUG
rnacentral:rRNA from 1 species